rnacentral:rRNA from 1 species
UAAGUCCCGCAACGAGCGCAACCCUUUUCCUUAUUUGCCAGCGGGUUAAGCCGGGAACUUUAAGGAUACUGCCAGUGACAAACUGGAGGAAGGCGGGGACGACGUCAAGUCAUCAUGGCCCUUACGACCAGGGCUACACACGUGCUACAAUGGUAGGUACAGAGGGUAGCUACACAGCGAUGUGAUGCGAAUCUCAAAAAGCCUAUCGUAGUCCGGAUUGGAGUCUGCAACUCGACUCCGUGAAGUCGGAAUCGCUAGUCAUCGAAG